CCCUUUGGGGUGUGACUGCGUACCUUUUGUAUAAUGGGUCAGCGACUUAUAUUCUGUAGCAAGGUUAACCGUAUAGGGGAGCCGGAGGGAAACCGAGUCUUAACCGGGCGUUAAGUUGCAGGGUAUAGACCCGAAACCCGGUGAUCUAGCCAUGGGCAGGUUGAAGGUUGGGUAACACUAACUGGAGGACCGAACCGACUAAUGUUGAAAAAUUAGCGGAUGACCUGUGGCUGGGGGUGAAAGGCCAAUCAAACCGGGAGAUAGCUGGUUCUCCCCGAAAGCUAUUUAGGUAGCGCCUCGUGAACUCAUCUCCGGGGGUAGAGCACUGUUUCGGCUAGGGGGCCAUCCCGGCUUACCAACCCGAUGCAAACUGCGAAUACCGGAGAAUGUUAUCACGGGAGACACACGGCGGGUGCUAACGUCCGUCGUGAAGAGGGAAACAACCCAGACCGCCAGCUAAGGUCCCAAAGUCAUGGUUAAGUGGGAAACGAUGUGGGAAGGCCCAGACAGCCAGGAUGUUGGCUUAGAAGCAGCCAUCAUUUAAAGAAAGCGUAAUAGCUCACUGGUCGAGUCGGCCUGCGCGGAAGAUGUAACGGGGCUAAACCAUGCACCGAAGCUGCGGCAGCGACACUAUGUGUUGUUGGGUAGGGGAGCGUUCUGUAAGCCUGUGAAGGUGUGUCGUGAGGC
rnacentral:rRNA from 1 species